rnacentral:rRNA from 1 species
CCUACGGGAGGCAGCAGUAGGGAACCUUCCACAAUGGGCGAAAGCCUGAUGGAGCAACGCCGCGUGAGUGAUGAAGGCCUUCGGGUUGUAAAACUCUGUCAUUCGGGACGAACCGGAGUCUGAGGAAAUGCAGACUCUCUGACGGUACCGGAGGAGGAAGCCCCGGCUAACUACGUGCCAGCAGCCGCGGUAAUACGUAGGGGGCAAGCGUUGUCCGGAUUCACUGGGCGUAAAGCGCGCGCAGGCGGUGAUGUAAGUCUGAGGUGAAAACCCGAAGCUCAACUUCGGGACUGCCUUGGAUACUGCGUCACUUGAGGAUAGGAGAGGCAAGGGGAAUUCCACGUGUAGCGGUGAAAUGCGUAGAGAUGUGGAGGAACACCUGUGGCGAAGGCGCCUUGCUGGCCUAUUUCUGACGCUGAGGCGCGAAAGCGUGGGGAGCAAACAGGAUUAGAUACCCUGGUAGUCCACGCUGUAAACGAUGAGUGCUAGGUGUAGGUGGGCUCAUACCCCAUCUGUGCCGAAGCUAACGCAUUAAGCACUCCGCCUGGGGAGUACGGUCGCAAGACUGAAACUCAAAUGAAUUGACGG